UCGAUGUCAUCGAUGUUUUCGCAAAAUCACAAACAUCGAUGUUUUUUGAGGAAUCAUCGAUCUUUCUCCGCCUCUAAUGUGGCGGAUUCAACCCAUGUACAUGUACUACAUGUAUGAAAGCGGCACAACUACCCGUUUCCGGUGGGCAGUCGGUCCGCAAUGUGGGCCGCCGACACCAUUCCACAGCCAAUUGACGUCACAAGCGACACAACAGCAACAACCUGGCACACGCUUUCUGGGUUAUGUCGGAAUGCAUCAAAAAGCGGGAGAAAAGCAGAAGAAGGUAGGAAAAGAAAGAAACCAAGAGUCACCCGGAUGGCAAUUCGAUUGCGGAGAGAUUUGGACAAUCAAUCGGCUUAGUUCACAGCCCAGCGGGACGGGACUCAGUGCCACAGGUUCAACUGUACAAUAAUACCAAGAAGAUGACGACGAUGACGAUGACGAUGAUGAUGGGGGAAGGGCGAUGGGCAAAAUGUUAAUGGAUUGCCCUAGGACCUGCCCUCAUUCCGUUUGCCAUCUUCGUCGCUUCGCUUCUGCAUUUGUGCAUUCCCAUUCCCAAUCCGAUUCCCCCAUCAAGUUGUGCUUCUCUGCCACACCGCCUUUCUGCCCCUUUUGCGGUGUUCUGUUGCUUUGUUGAUGUUACAAUUGUUGCACUUGUUGUGUGCGGCUUAGGACGUUGAACCACAGCCGGCAGAAAUGCAGAACUGCACGCAACUGAGUGGCAAGUGUACAGCUGCGGUCACAGCACUAGCAAUGCUUUGCGAAGGAUUCCUCCAGACCGCUGGAUAAUUGGUUUUCUUACGCGUAAUUUGGCCGACAUUAGUUAGUUGAUAUCUGCAAUCUAAAAGUUACGAAGCAACGGUGUUCGGAAAAGCCCUAGAAAGAUGUAAUUACCCAACUAUGUAUGUAUAGUGCCCGAUGCUCGCACUUUUUUUUCAGUGCAUUCUUGCAAUUUGCUAACAUUUUUACCGCCGUCGCUGCCGUAUGCAUUUGUAUACUCAUUCGGAAAGCCAAUUCUAAGGCAAUGCUAGUAAAAUCAAUAAACAACAUUACUGUCACGCACACAUACAUAUGCAUAUAUAUUGGAUGUCCGGUUGAAACGAUGACGAUGAAAGGUCACGACGAAGAAUUUUUCGCCAAUUGCCUGGUGGGUCGCACAGUCUGGGUCGCGAGACGUCUGACUAGACAACAUGCAAAUAGUAACGGUAAUCAUUAGACGCACACACUCGCACCUAUUUGCAUGCAAACUCUCUCUGGCUGUGGUUCUGGUCUUGGGCCCCCAUAUUUCAUCUCUCUCGCGGCCGCACUCUCUUUCUCUCACCAUUUUCUAUGCUGAGUUCGACGGCCUUCUUACGUAAAAUCAACAACAACGCUCUGCGGUAUUUCUCUUCUAAUAAGCGGGCGCUUGGGGCUUGGGGUUGGGGGGAUGUGCACUCGCCGACAGAGUUGCCAUAUCUAGCCAGAUAUCAAACUCGUUUUCACUGUUUUGGCUCCAUACACACACACACACGCACGCAUGCACCAAUGUGAGUGUCUUUGCAACUGUACAAGAACAAUAAGUAGGGGCAGCAUAAAAGCAACAACACACGGCGCAGACGCCAAGCAAACGCUCCCCCUCCCAACGCUCCACUCAAUGUUUGUCUGUCUGUCCGGAACGUCUGUUUAUGUAUGCUUUAGGCGUACACAUGCAUGAGUGUGUGUGAGCAAUUUUUAUUUUUCUGAAUGUAAAGGAAGUGGCACGUACUGUACUACUCAACUCACCGCUGCCGCAACAACAAGAGCAGUGACAGCCGGAUCAGGCUGGGAAUUCGAAUAAGAGCGGAGCGCGUCGCAUUCGGAUGUUCCGAUUCCGCAUCGUUCCCAGCCGCAAAGCGGUCAGCGUUCCAAUGCCAACGGCACAGUGGUUGCGAUGCGAAAAGUAACGUGCUACGGAACCGAAACUCGCGGAUGAUCGUAAGUGGGAGAUAUGUACGUGGGAUAAGAGCGAAAAUGCUCAUUUAGGAUCGAUCCAUUGUGCAGCGAGAUGAGCGGAACGAAAGGCGAAAGGGAGAGCGCUGCUGGUUUGCGUCUCCGCUGUGCGGCAGACAGACAGACAAGACGCCGCAAUAUUAUAAACAGGAAAUGGAAUUUACCCACACGGAUGCAGCGCGGUGAAGUGUGUGUCUGUGUAAAUUGCUGAUGAGCCGACAAACGGACGUGGUGCUCAAUUGACAAAUGAGCACGAGAGAGACAGGCAGAGCAUAGCACACCGCCGAAUGAGCGAAGGAGAAGGCGAGAGCGCGCUUACAAAGUUGAUUGAAAUCAAUAUACGUACAUACGUAUGUAUGCAUGUACACACAUACCGUGCCGGUGUGAGUGUGCUAAGACCGCUCGUGGAAUGUUUGAAAAACGCGGUCAAGCGACGGGAAGAGCAAGAAUGUUGAACUCUGGAAGUGGGAAGAAGUUUCUGUAAAUAGAAGCGAGGUGGAGGGGGCUUUUGCACCUGCCACGCCCAGCUGCCCCUGGAAUCAAUUAACAUGUUGCACAACUGCAGCGGCUCCUAUGUACAUAGUGCAUAUAUGUAUUGUGAUACAGUGACUUACGCACACAGCGGUGCAAUUGCAGAUGGCGACGAGUGUAGCGUGUAGUUUUUUCUCGGAAAUGAGCAAUGAAUGAAAUUCGGUUGUUUUCAGCGUGUACUCACACACACACGAACGCACAUGCAUACACUCGCAAUUUGGAGCAAGAGAGAAAGUCUGCACGACAUGCGCUCUGGCAUUUGUGUGUAUACAAUUUGUUUACUUUUUGCGCUACAAUUGGCAAAUAAAACAAUAGCGCAAUUUUACGCAGCAUUUUAGCUUACUAACCCACAUUGAUGGCUUCACAAAGCGAGCAAAAUAAUUUGUCUUCAUAAAUGAAAAAAAUAUUAAGUAAAACUAAGCAGAAAAAAUGUCGGCAAAAAACAAGGCGCAGCUGUAUUGUGCGCUAGUGUGUGUAAAAAGGAGACGGCCAUAGAAAAAAAAACACAUAUACACACAGGAGAAUUUACUGCUGCUUGCGGCGCCCACACACACAUACACAAAAACACACGCCUAUUUAGUACAGCAACUGCGUAAAUUCAAUAAAAAUAGUCUUCUGGAGUAAAAAAAACUCAGUUUCCUGUCUUCAUUUCCCCUUUUUUUCGGUGAAGGUACACAGUCACUACUGCUAUGAUUUUUAGCACACACACUCGCGCAUUGUAUGCAUUUGGGUUGCUUUCAUUUGGAUGUUUAUCACUUACUUUAGCACUUACUUUGGGAUAUAGCUCUUCGUUUGUUGCACUUUUUUGGCCUGUUUUUAUGCCAUUUUCUUUUUGAAAAACUGAAAGAGUACAAUUCGUUGUGUCGCGUCUUAAA